GAAAUAAUAAGGUCCAGGUUCAAACAACUACAACUACAGCGGCAGAUCCAGAUCAUCACAACACAUCCCAAACCAAGUGAGGGGCCCCAGGACAAACAUUUACUCACUACAGGAGGAGACAGAGGACACAGAGGAGACAUGAAGAAAUGAUCGCCAUCGUCGGGUCCUGGUCGGUUAACCCUGACAUCGGGUCACCAACAAAGAAGAUGUAAACGCUUGUCAGAGUUUUGGCGGGAUGCAGCUCCUCGGAUCCUGAACGCCUGCCGGGUUCUGCUGCGCUCUCCGAAACUCCAGCUCUUUGGGACCUUGCUAGGACUCUCCUCCAGACAGGGCUCCAUACUGGGGGACCGCCGCAGGGCCUGGACUCCCCCUGGAACCCCUGGACCUCCAGAGCCCAAACCAGGAGUAACAGCGGGUACAACUGUAGGCACCAAUAAAGAAAGGGCGCGGUAAAGGAAGAUGGACGUUAAGGAUGGGAAACACGAGAAUCAGGACAAUCGUUGGAGUUGGGUACUGAUUGUUGUCUUGGUUGAUGUAAGUCUCGUCUGCCGGUUUUCAGUCAAAACAGUUCCUAGAGCAGGUUUAUUUCACGAACAAGUUCCUCCUGUUUUGUUUGUUAAGUAGGUAACUGAUAUGGUUCUGUCUGGUUGGUGGGAACAUGAAGCUGCAGACAGUUGGAUCUCUACACACUGGCCAAACCAAACCCGACCAAACCAAACCCAAGUGCGUCCUGGGACUUUUAUGUCUUCGGUCAAUCUUCAACGCCCAAAAAUGUUACUGACAAAAUGGAGAAAACAGCGGAGAUGUGACUGACUGUCUUCAGUCAAGUCAAGAGAGGAACCUGUCAGGAGAAUCAAAUGUGAGACCUGAAUGGAUAAACCUUUCUCUGCUAAG